GCGCCAGUAGCCCAACUGGAUAGAGCGUCGGCCUCCGGAGCCGAAGGCUGUGGGUUCGAAUCCCGCCUGGCGCACCA
rnacentral:tRNA from 1 species